CCCCGCCUUCUCCCACCCCUCCCCUCCUCCCACCCGUCCUGCCCACUCCCGCACACCUCGCCCCGCCGCCCUGAGUGACCUGGCCGCGCACCAGUCACAGAGACGGUAACCCUGAAUGUCUCAGAAUGGAUAUCAGCUAGAAGACUCUGACCUGGACAGAUGCAGAUCUAGACAUACAGUUCCUGCAGUCAUGCUAGUAGAGAGAUCAUGUCAGCAGCAAAGAGUGCAAUUGGACGUCAGCAGCAAAGCAUUCAUUCCUGAAGGAAAUUAUUGAACCCACACACAGAGAAUUCUGACAGCAUUGUUUAGCGAUGCGGUCUUCUUAUGUUGUCCAGGCUGAUCUGAAACUCCUGGGCUCAAGCAAUCCUCCUGCUUCAGCCUCCCAAGUGGUGGGAUUACAGGUAUGAGCCACCAUGCCUGGCUGCUCCUAUUGUUUUCAGUUCAUGAGCUCUUCAAGAUUGGGCCUUGCCCUUUGUAUUUUCAUUUCUGGAGCCUGGAAUAUCACUCAGCACAAAGUAUAUACUCAAUAAAGGUUUUCCUGGCCAGAACCAUGAUUUCAUUGGAACAGCAAUAUGCCCAGUCCCGGAGAAGGCAUCAUGAGUUCUCUAUGCCAGUUUUAGCAA